rnacentral:rRNA from 1 species
UACAGAGGGUGCGAGCGUUAAUCGGAAUUACUGGGCGUAAAGCGCACGUAGGUGGCGACGUAAGUCGGGUGUGAAAGCCCCCGGGCUCAACCUGGGAAUUGCAUUCGAGACUGCAUUGCUGGAGUACGGAAGAGGAAGGCGGAAUUCCCGGUGUAGCGGUGAAAUGCGUAGAGAUGUGGAGGAACACCGAUGGCGAAGGCAGCCCUUCUGGGCCAACACUGACGCUCAUGCACGAAAGCGUGGGGAGCAAACAGG